GAUGAAGAACGUAGUGAAAUGCGAUAAGUAAUGUGAAUUGCAGAAUUCAGUGAACCAUCGAAUCUUUGAACGCACAUUGCGCCCGCCAGUAUUCUGGCGGGCAUGCCUGUUCGAGCGUCAUUUCGACCCUCAAGCCGCGAGGCUUGGUGUUGGGGCGUCCUGCGGCCUCCGGGCCGCAGCCCCCGAAAUCCAGUGGCGGUCCCGACCGAGACCCCGAGCGCAGUAAUACCCCUCGCUCGCGGCGUCCGGCGGGUCACCGGCCGUAAAAACCCACGGGCGCCCCCCGGGCCCCCCGUACCCCACAAGGUUGACCUCGGAUCAGGUAGGAAUACCCGCUGAACUUAAGCAUAUCAAUAAGCGGAGGA
rnacentral:misc_RNA from 1 species